rnacentral:rRNA from 1 species
AUGCCAUUUGUUGCACGCCAUUUGGAUGAGCCCUCAAUGGUUCGCCAUUGCCUUCGACCCGCGCUGCAUGUAGACGCCUUUGAAGUAGGGGUCGACGAGUUUGCGCUCGUCGAACUCGGCCUUGAUGCGCUCCCAAUACAUGUCGAUGCUCUGGUUCGUGCCGGUGAUCGGGUCGAGGCAAACGACUUUUCACGCUUCGGCGAGGCACUCGUCCUUUUUGGAUGCCCACUUGAUGCGCGGCUCGCCGGUCCUGGCCGCCCGCUUCUUCUUCUUCUUCCCUUUUCUCGCCGGAGCAGGCGCCGGCUCCUCCUCGUCCUCCUCCUCCUCCUCCUCUGGCUCCUCCUCGCCGUUCAUGUCGCCGUUGAGGUCCAUUGUGUCCUCUUGGGCAGUGAACCCGGGGGAGGUGGUGGCGGCGACCGAGCCGGUCGUGAUGAUGUCGUCCAUGUCGGCCUCCGUCGCGUCGGUGUCGUCGAGAUGCGACGAGGAGGCUUGUGA